rnacentral:ncRNA from 2 species
UGUCACAGACACGGGGGCCGUUAAGGCUGAGAGGAAGCGAACGCGCUUCGACCGUAUGAACGUAUACCGGGUAAUGCCGGCGCACGGACGUCUCUCUUUUCCCGUG